GACGUCCUACGGGGGGCAGCAGUGGGGAAUAUUGGGCAAUGGGCGCAAGCCUGACCCAGCAACGCCGCGUGAAGGAAGAAGGUUUUCGGGUUGUAAACUUCUUUUCUGAGGGACGAUAGUGACGGUACCUCAGGAAUAAGCCACGGCUAACUACGUGCCAGCAGCCGCGGUAAUACGUAGGUGGCAAGCGUUAUCCGGAUUUACUGGGUGUAAAGGGCGUGUAGGCGGGAUGGUAAGUCAGAUGUGAAAAAUAUGGGCUCAACCAAUAGCCUGCAUUUGAAACUAUCGUUCUU
rnacentral:rRNA from 1 species